GUACGCUGGCGGCACGCCUAACACAUGCAAGUCGAACGAAGUAGCAAUACUUAGUGGCAGACGGGUGAGUAACAUGUAGGUAUCUGCCCUUUGGCCUGGAAUAACACGAGGAAACUUGUGCUAAUACCGGAUAAGUCUUUACGGAGAAAGCUUUAUGCACCAUUGGAUGAGCCUGCACUUGAUUAGUUUGUUGGUGGGGUAAUGGCCUACCAAGACAAUUAUCAAUAGCUGAUUUGAGAGGAUGAUCAGCCACAUUGGAACUGAGACACGGUCCAAACUCCUACGGGAGGCAGCAGUAGGGAAUCUUGCACAAUGGAGGAAACUCUGAUGCAGCGAUGCCGCGUGAGUGAAGAAGGCCUUUGGGUUGUAAAGCUCUUUCGUCGGGGAAGAAAAUGACUGUACCCGAAUAA
rnacentral:rRNA from 1 species